CUCUGGUCUUAUGGGAUUCCAUAAGUAAUUGCGAAUGAACAAGGAAAUGCUCAGCUUGAAAAAUGGGGCCUUUGGCUUUGAAUUGUAAUUUUGAAAUGUAUUGCCAAUGGAGGCGCAGGUGCAAGCCUAUUGAAAGAAAGCGUCAAUGAGGGUGAGAUUCCUUUUUGUCAUUUGCAGUCCUCCGUGCACGGUAUAUAUUUGACGAGUCACACUCCUCGGCAUUGGAAUGCAAAGUGGGUGGUAAAUUCCAUGUAAAGGUAAAUAUAUUAUUGAGACUGAUAGCAAACAAGUACCAUGAGGGAAAUAUGAAAAGGACUUUGAAAAGAGAAUUAAAAGAGUCUGCAUUUGCUGAACAGAAAGCAAACAGAAUUGAUUUUACUUGGUGAGAUUGUUGUGCUUACUCUAUCAUUUAUAUGGUUGAUGUGGGUGCGAUGGUUCUUACCUUGAAUGUCAGCUUCUAUUUCUGCAAAUCAUUACCCUUGCACAUGAAUGGUAACUUGCCUGCGGGUAUUGGAAUGCAUGUGUUUGCAAUGAUUUGUGAUUUGACGCAUGUGUUUGGUGAAAUUUGUAUAUGCUCUUUUGUCGAAGGGGAAAGCUUACUUUUUUGAGCAUUGCAAGCCCUUACACAUCAGUGCUGGCAAAAUGUUUCUGCUUGACCCGUCUUGAAACCGGGGACCAAGAGU
rnacentral:rRNA from 1 species